AAUCAACGCUGGCGGCGUGCCUAACACAUGCAAGUCGAACGCGAAAGGGGAGCAAUCCCUGAGUAGAGUGGCAAACGGGUGAGUAACACGUGGGUGACCUGCCUUCGAGUGGGGGAGUAACGUCCCGAAACGGGACGCUAAUACCGCAUGACAUCCUGCUCUUGGAAGAGCGGAGAUCAAAGCUGGGGAUCGCAAGACCUGGCGCUUGAAGAGGGGCCCGCGCC
rnacentral:rRNA from 1 species